CUUCAGAAAUCUGUUCGAUUUGGCUUGCAACUCUCUCUGCUGCUCUCUGCCCAUUACCUUACUGUAACCCAUUCUACAGAAGAGUGUGGUAGUGGAUAUUUAUUUUUCUACUCGUUAAUUGGCUGUAGAAAUCAGGCUGGUGUCUCCUCACCAGCCACCCCAAGCAUGUCUGUGUGCUGGGGUCAGCAGCACAGCAGUUGUCCUGUCACCUCCACCCUUGGCUGAUGGUGUGCUGCACGUCUUUGCUGGAGCAGCCUUGAAAACAUGUGUGGCAAAGGCAGCUCACUUUUUUUUGGAGAACAUCCUGCUUUAGGCUGCCCUGAGAAGCAGCCCAGCUGUUAGCAGCACUUGCCGUACCCAUCUGGAGGUGUAGGAGCCCACCAAGUGGCACACCUCCCCUGCCCUGCCUCCUUAAGGCACCGCCUAUGCAUCCUGCUCUCCUCUCCUGUGCCCUGAGACAGCAAAGAAACAUCUACCGCUGGUUGUGACAAGUGAUUCAGCAGGAGCUCAGGUGACUCAUUUAGCUACCGAGGAGAUUAAAAUCAGUUCCUGCUUCGGAAAACGACAAACUGCCCUUUUGUGUCACUCAUUAAUCUACAGCAAGUGCUGGAAAAAACCAGCCCGUGUUUGUUAACGUGGCCGCGAGAGGGAGCUGAGAAAUCCCACGGAUGCCACAGGGAUGUGUGGCCAUGGACCGACACAGGAUGAAACAAGGGAACAAAUGGCUGUCUUGCAAUGCGGGGAUCUGCAAUGGAAGAAGCACUUAUGGCCAGGAGGAGGGAAACGCAAGUGCUCGGAACAGAAUGAGACAAUUGUGCUGGAUGAACUGUGCAUUUAAACAUGACUGUCUUCAAGCAGAGUCAGAAACCACAUGAGAUAUUUGAAUUUCAUCAGAGUACUCUUUUUUUUCUUUCUUUCUUUUUUUUUUUUCUUUUUUUUCCUCCCCUCUCUCUUGCGUAUUUCAUUUUUCCUCUCAGGGUCUCUUCACUCUCAGCUGAAGAGUUUGGGAUUUUUUUAGAAAGCUGACAAAGAGUUCCUAUUCAACUUUGUUAUUGAGAACAUCAGAACUAUGUGAAACUACAUAGGAACACUGUGCUCCUUCGCUUUGUGUAGGUAAUUAACUGCCUCAGCUAUGUUUGGACUUCUUUCAAACUCCAGAAUUAUUUAAGAUAUGAUAGAUGAUCAGGUAUUUUCAUCAUUAACAAUAAUGUACACCUACCAGUAGCAAUGAAAUUCUUAAUUUCCUAGCUGGGUUGGUUCAGUAUGUCUGAUUUUGCUACCCAAAGUAGGAUAUUGUGGUAAGCAUGUGCCCCUUCACAAAAGGGCUGUGUUCAAUACCCGAUUUAAGUUCUAAGAACCCUGUCCUAGGGAACACUGCCAAAGCCUUUUGCAGGGCUGUCCUGUGUCCCAGAGGAAGGGAAAUCCAUGGUGCCUUUCCUUUUGCUGAGCAAGUUCUUAAUCUUGGGAAAUCUUUGCAAGCAUUUGUGAUAGCUUGAAAUGGUCCCACUUUGGGUGAUUUGAUGAGAUGUUUUAUAUUCAGAAUAGGUUGAGCACUUCCUUUCCUCUGAAACAGCAUCUAAGCAUCAGUUGGAGAUGAGAUAAUAAUUAAGGUGAUCUUUUCCACUCCAGCAGUCAAAACACCUUUCCAAGCCCUUUUUUAAAGUACUGUCUAUAAAGCACUUAAAAGCUCAUAAACACAACAAAGACUUAAAUAUAACCACUGUUGUCUCCCUAUUGCUUUUUUCCCAGUGUCUUGAAUUGCAUGUUCUAAUCUUCUGAAUCUCUCCUCAUAAGCCCUUCCCACAAAUGCCCUUUGCACAGUUAAAAACAGUCUACUGCUUUACCAUCAUAUCCUUACAUCUUGCUGUGUAUUAGCUCAUCUUCAUUACAUCUUUAACUGUAAUUUGCAACUGAUCUUUUAGGCUUCCCAGUGGGAUCAAAGACUAUUUCCUAACUAUCAAAAUAGUUUCCCAAAAGCUUCCUUGCUUUGCUGUGAAUUCGAUGCCACCAUAAUGAAACUGGUUUAUUAUUUCAUUUCUUUUCCAUUUUGUGGGAUUUUUUUCCAAGUGAUCUAUGUUGCUUGUCUUACGGAUGCAAAUGGCAGGCAGUGCGGACCUACGCUUCACUUGUUGUAUGGGUGUGUACCUCUGCAGCUGGGAGAAUGAGCAGAUGUAUGGGUCCUGAGAAGCUCGCGUUCACUUAUGCCAUACCUUAUUUUCAGCAUAGGCCUGGAUCAAGGGUUGACCUGUAAGUUAGAAACAUGGUGUCCUGAAGAAAAUGCAUGUCGCAAUGGGAAAAAGGGAGAAGUAAGAUAUUGCAGCGGAAUGCCUCUUUUGUAUUCUCUGUGUUUACCUAACUGUUGUGCAAAAGCCAGGCAAAUCUACAAUCUAAUCCUUUCUUGAGAGAGAUGGACAGAAUAAAGAUAGGUGUUAGGCUGUGAAGAAAAAGAGCAGUGACUUGGAUCAAUCCAAAAGCAUUUACCCACUCUGAACAGCAGAGAUAAGAACAAAAGUGAUAAAGAAACCUAAAUCCCACAUCAACAGCACAGUAUUAGAAGGGUGAUUAAGAUUAUGGACCUAAGGGAAUGUGUACAUUGCAAUACUGAAGGUGAAGUACCUAAGUUUUAGGCUACCUAGAAAAACUGAUGGGCUUGACUGACCUAUGCAGGCUCCGUGUAGUGCACUGAUGAAGCAGAGGACCACAGAUCGAUAGCCAUUGGUGCUGGGAUGUGCAGGUCACCAUCUCUAGAGCUUUGCGUUGUGCUGGAGCAAAGCUUGCAUGGCAGGGCUGUCUGGCAAGCUGCUCUUCACUAGGCUGGACAAUGAUCAAUUUGCCUGAUGGAUAACGGGGCAGCCCCACAGCAUGCGACCAAGCGGCAGCAGCAAAAGGACACUGCUCUGGAGCGAAGUUAAGUUUGGAUUUAAAUUUUGACUCUUGGUUGCAAAAUGUGCUCUUUGUGGUAAAAAGGAUGCAAGUUCACAUUUGAUUCUUCCCCCAAAUUCUAUACCGUAUCUGUAGAAAAUUUUUGCUUGUAAUGAACCUGUGCAAAUUCCACAGCCAGGUAAUACUCAUCAACUUCUUAGAUCCUUUAUGCAAAUGUACAUGUACCAUACCCUGGUUGGAUCUAUUUAUAAGCUAAUGCUGCUGCUUUGUACUUAUAUGCUCAGAUAUGGCAGCCAAGUGUAAUGAACUGAUUCAUUAAUUAACCAGAAAAUUUUUACUUCUGGUGACAUACUUCAGCUUUGCUGUGGAAAGAGAGAGCAACAGAAAAUUGUUUCGAUUUCUAAGGAGGCUGGAGUAAAACUGUUCUGAAAAUGUAUUUUCUAGCAUUUACUAUACCCUUGAAUGAUUAAUUGAGGCCAGUUGGCAGUUUUUUCUCCAAAGAGAUGACAAAACUGAUAAAAUUUCGUAAGCUCCCACUUCAUAUUUCUGAUUCUUGUGACUAUUCUUGGAAUGAAGGCUAAUUAUACCAUUAAAAUGUCAACUAUU